UGUAUGAUCACCAUAGUACACACACACACUGUAGUGAUCCCAUGGAUUGGCUGCCAGAGAGGAGAGAAUCUUAUGAAGGCACAGACUUCAAUACCAUUUGUGAUAUUCUUCUUCUUAUUAUUCUCACUAUUAUAAAUAGAAUGAGUCAGGCAAGGCAGGCAGGCAAGCAGCAUCUUCUUUUUCUUCCAAUUCAAAGGGUGAGCAAAGAAUAAGUUUGGUGUGGUGGUGGCAGAGUGUGUUGGGUCAGAUGGAAGGAGGGAAGGGAGAGAGAUGAUGCAAUUGAAAAGAAGGGUAAGGAAAUCAGGGAAUUGGUGGACAAGCAUUGCCUGCAUUGACUUAUUGGAAAGAGAGAGAGAGAGAGAGAGAGAGAGAGAGAGGGUGGGAGUUGCCAGGCACUGACUCUAGUGUUAGUAGUAGUAAGUAAAGUAAGUACAUCCCAUGGCAGGCAUAUGGGAAGUGUGGGGAACAAGUCAAGGACAGUGCCCAACACCACACCCCUCUCUCACUCACUGAAGUAGAAGUGUGUGUGUGUGUGUGCGUGUGUGUGGGUGGGUGGGUGAUGCAGAGAUAAUUCAGUCAGACAUCAUCCUC
rnacentral:lncRNA from 1 species